GGCCCUAUCGUCUAUCGGUUAGGACAUCGGCUUUUCAUGCCGGUAAGCGGAGUUCGACUCUCCGUAGGGUCA
rnacentral:tRNA from 1 species